rnacentral:rRNA from 1 species
CGCGUAGGCGGUUUGCUCAGUCAGAUGUGAAAGCCCUCGGCUUAACCGGGGACGUGCAUUUGAAACUGGCAGACUUGAGUAUUGGAGGGGGUGGUGGAAUUCCCGGUGUAGAGGUGAAAUUCGUAGAUAUCGGGAGGAAUACCGGUGGCGAAGGCGACCACCUGGCCAAAUAACUGACGCUGAGGUGCGAAAGCGUGGGGAGGCAAAACA